rnacentral:rRNA from 1 species
AGUAACACGUGGAUAACCCACCUAUAAGACUGGGAUAACUUCGGGAAACCGGAGCUAAUACCGGAUAAUAUUUUGAACCGCAUGGUUCAAAAGUGAAAGACGGUCUUGCUGUCACUUAUAGAUGGAUCCGCGAUGCAUUAGCUAGUUGGUAAGGUAACGGCUUACCAAGGCAACGAUGCAUAGCCGACCUGAGAGGGUGAUCGGCCACACUGGAACUGAGACACGGCCCAG